rnacentral:rRNA from 1 species
CACGUAGGGGGCAAGCGUUGUCCGGAUUUAUUGGGCGUAAAGAGCUCGUAGGCGGUCUGUCGCGUCUGCUGUGAAAAUCCAGGGCUCAACCCUGGACCUGCAGUGGGUACGGGCAGACUAGAGUGCGGUAGGGGAGAUCGGAAUUCCUGGUGUAGCGGUGAAAUGCGCAGAUAUCAGGAGGAACACCGGUGGCGAAGGCGGAUCUCUGGGCCGUAACUGACGCUGAGGAGCGAAAGCAUGGGGAGCGAACAGG